AUGCUGUCAUGGCACCGGGGAAGCCUUAAUCAACAAAGAGGCUCCUGCGAGCGCAGGUCUCUUAUUGCACAACAAGUGAUCAAUGGAUGCUCGCUACUUCCACAAAUUGUGGAUGGUUAGGGUGCACAGUUUUUGGUAGAUUUGUGACAGUCGGCGCGAAA